GACAGAAAAUGCAAACGUUAUUCGGAAUUACUGGACGUAAAGCGCGUAUAAACUGCCCCACAAGUCGGAUGUGAAAGCCCUGAACUCAACCUAAGAAGUGCAUUCGAAACUGCAGAACUGGAGUCCUGGAGAGGAAGGCGGAAUUCUCGGUGUAGAGGUGAAAUUCGUAGAUAUCGAGAGGAACACCGGUGGCGAAGGCGGCCUUCUGGACAGUGACUGACGCUGAGACGCGAAAGCGUGGGGAGCAAACAGG
rnacentral:rRNA from 1 species